AAUUUUUUGCUAUUUAAAAAGUAGAUGGCUCCCUAAGUCCAUAUUUGCCACAAGUCUGUUGCUAAGUGUUUUUUUUUUUUUUUUUUUUUUUUUUUGCACUAAAGCAUGCCCCUAGCCUAAGUUCGUCCCAAAUUUGUAACUGAUAUGUUUUUCAGAAUACACUGUAUCUACAAAAGAGUAAUUUUUCCCCAAAAGCUUAUCCUCAGUGUCAGGUUAGGCCCAGACACCUCAUUCAGAGUUAGCAGCCCAUGGUCAGGUACCAGAGAUUCUGUUUAUCUCUGGGCCUCACUAUGGUUGGAGUGGCCCCAAGCUCUUGGUCAACAACUUAUCAUGUCCCUACUUUUCCUUAUCUCAAGCAGACAAUUAUUCUUUCCAUCUUGUGCUGCCUUAGGUUGGAUGCGAAGUCUCCUGGCCUUCAUUGUUGCAAUCCUGAGUCACACUUGGAAGCCAUAACUUGAGAAGGCCUGUUCAGUGCAGUACUAGAAAAGGACCAAGACCCAAGCAUGUAUAAUGUACAUGAGCCUAAGCAGGUGGUUUUGACCUGUACUGUGCUGCCAGAGGUUGAGGAGUGAUGGUGGAGGCAGUCCUUUGCUACAUGGCUAAACAGAUCCAGAGGAUCAGUCUAUAUAUAUCGUCUCUCAUUUUAAAUGGCUGCCAUCAAAACAGAGGUUCAAUCCUGAAGCUACCUUGGGACCACCAGCUAUCAAACAACUCAUGAGCAUACAAAAAGACAUUUGUCACAUUGAAAAUUUCAAGGAUUUUAGGAGUUGUAUACCAAGAAACUGGACUAAGAUCAAAUAUAGUUUUCACAAUAUUAUAUUGAAGCAUUUUUUUAUUGAUACAUUUGAUAUGAUUCAUUCACAGAAUGGUAAUGUGGCAUAGGCUUAUGGCAGUCUAUAAAAAACAUCUCAUCCUGCCCUCUAAAAUUCCACAUGUAAGAAUGGGAACAAGAGUAAUUUUUAGAAAUUUGCUUAAUUUCACACAUCUCAUGCAUGUCAUAAUUUCUGGAAAAGUUUUCUCCUUGGAAAGUCUUACCUGACUUUCUUUAAAAUCCGAUAGUAUGUCCAAUGGUCUCACCUUGCUUUCUCAAAAACUUGUUAUUUGAUUUACACUCUGCUCAAGCUUUCCUGAAACACAAGCACACAUAGCAGAGUCCUCACUCUCCACCUUUGAACUCAGUACUCAGCAUGGCUAAGGAAAAUAAACAAAUAAAACUGAAUAGCGUAUUCUUCACUCUGGCUGGGAAGUCACUACAUGCAUUUUUAUAUAACAUGUAUAAGACUGCAUACAUAAACUAGUUCACUGAUAUUCAGAUCAUGUAAAAAUGUCAAAUAAAUUCCCCUCUGGUGUAUUUUCAAUUUAAAACAAAUUCAAAAAAAUUUGAUUUGCAUUAGUCUAGUUUUUCUUGGAGUCUGGCUUGGUCAAGAUGACAUUGCCAUUUCAUUGAAAUAGAUAAUUUGAUUGCAGAAAGCCUUUUUUUUUUCUUUUGGAAGAUGAGUCUAAUGAGUUUUGAAGUUUCAGAAGACAAUGUUCUCUCUGCACCUGUGUGAAUGUUUUGUCGGAAUCAAUUAUGGAGUAUGUAAUUAUAUGGAUAUUGAAUAAUUAGUGCAAAACUCAUUGGAAAUGCCAAAGUUAAACAAGUUCUCUCUUGCAUGUGAAGACAGUUGCUCUAAUGGGUCAAGUUUCAUUAGCUAAUGCUGCCAGUCACACAAAGAGAUAGUCUGGCGAUAUUUAUACAUCAUGGAUCAUGAGUCAAACACCUUUCCAAUUCAUCUGAGUCACUUUUCGCUGUGACAGAAAACAUGUUCUCCAAGGUCCUUAGCAGUUUCUUUCAGCAAUUAUGCAGCAUGAUGAGUCCUUGCAGUCAUGAUGGCUACAUCUCUAUUCUAUCAGACAUCUUUAUUAAAUGAGUUUAUUAUUAUGCUCAUGAUUCCCCUGGGUGAACAAAAUCUAAGAAAAAUAACUAUAGUAAAAUAGUUCCCCAUAUGAGAGACCAUGUUUUUAUCUAUUAAUUUUGAGCUGGAAAAUGCAAACACAAGGAAGAAAAGCAUAUAUUCUUUUGUUUUUGUCCUCCUAUAUGUCAUUUUCUAAUCAAUGAAGAUCUAAAUAUUUUCAAUAAUGUCCCAGUAGAAUAUAAAUUACAUAGGAAUAGAGACAUUAUCUCUACUUCUGUUCACCAAUGCAUCUCCAUGACUCAAGUAUAGUUUGUCUGAAGAAGCAGGUGCUCAUAUCAUACAAAUAUCAGAAAAAAAAUGCAGGGACAGUAUUAUCAUGAAUGUUAAGUGAAUGUCAUGCCCCAAAUCAUGUCUUUAUAAGGUCUAAUGAAAAUUCUCACUUUAUAUCUCUGAAAAAAGUAAUUAGGCUCUCUGAAAA